AGCCCCUCUGUUUUCUCCGUUGGCGCAGCAGCCCCGUCGUCUCCGCGCGCUGCCGGCUCGCUGUUUUGUGGAGCCAAUGGACAGCACGCCGUGACGCUCGUCGGGCGUUUGCUGUUUUUGGCACAGACCCGCUCGCGACGUCAUCGACCCUCGGUGAGACAUUCCGCUACCCUUGCUGUUUUUGUGUCCAUGGUGUCGACGAUAUGCCAAGUCCCUAAACUCGUGUAUUAUCGCAGCCACCGUCAAAGUCGCGCUCCGCGCUUGGCCGUUCGACGAAAUGCCAAGCCUUGUGGACAUCCCAUGUGACUAGCCUUGUCGGGGACCAUAAUUAGGGGUACCCUCAAGACGCCUAAUUCUCAGCUGGUAACCCCCAUCAGCAUAAAGCUGCAAAGGCCUGAUGGGUACGAUUAAGUCAGGGAUCAGUCCACACGAGUGACUCGAUCACGCUUCACCCGAGCCUAGCCUCGGCCAAGGGCAGCCGACCUCGAGAGACUUCCGUCUCGCCCGAGGCCCCCCUUUUUACGGUGGACACAUCACCGGCUCGCCCGAGGCCUUGGCUUCGCUCAGAAGCAACCCUGACUAAAUCGCCACACCGACUGACCGAGUUGCAGGAGCAUUUAACGCAAAGAGUGAGUCAGACAGACAGUCAGGCCUUGCCAAAGGCGCCACGGCGAACUCCGCUCCGCCCGACCCCAGGGCUCGGACUCGGGCUAAGACCCGGAAGACGGCGAACUCCGCUCCGCCCGACCCCAGGGCUCGGACUCGGGCUAAGACCCGAAAGACGGCGAACUCCGCUCCGCCCGACCCCAGGGCUCGGACUCGGGCUAAGACCCGGAAGACGGCGAACUCCGCUCCGCCCGACCCCAGGGCUCGGACUCGGGCUAAGACCCAGAAGACGGCGAACUCCGCUCCGCCCGACCCCAGGGCUCGGACUCGGGCUAAGACCCAGAAGACGACGAAACUCCGCCUCGCCCGACCCCAGGGCUCGGACUCCGCCCUGGCCUCGGCCAAACAACCUCCGCCUCGCCCGACCCCAGGGCUCGGACUCGGCCUCGGCAACAGAAGACAGACUCAACCACGGCUUCGGAGGAGCCCCCACGUCACCCCGCCUAGGGCACAGACCCGCCACGUCAACAGGAAGCGUCAUCAUCGUCCUACCCCGAAUCAACUCAGGUCACGGAGAACAAGACCGGCGUCCCAUCCGGCCAGCUCCGCCGGAUGGGCAAUGAUGGCGCUCCACAAGCUCUGUGACGACGGCGGCCCCCAGCUCUCUUACGGAAGCAGGGCGACGUCAGCAAGGACUCGGCCGCUCCAACAGCUGUCCCUUCGCCGGGCUCCGUCGCACCUCCGACAGCCACGACAUCACGCCAGCAAGGUGCCAAGACCUCUCCGGCUGCCACAUUGGCAUGUACCUAGGGCGCUAGCUCUCUCUCCGCUAGACACGUAGCACUCUGCUACACCCCCCAUUGUACACCUGGAUCCUCUCCUUACGACUAUAAAAGGGAGGACCAGGGCCUUCUUAGAGAAGGUUGGCCGCGCGGGACCGAGGACGGGACAGGCGCUCUCUUGGGGCCGCUCGCUUCUCUCACCCGCGUGGACGCUUGUAACCCCCCUACUGCAAGCGCACCCGACCUGGGCGCGGGACGAACACGAAGGCCGCGGGACUUCCACCUCUCUCACGCUCGACUCCGGCCACCUCGCCUCUCCCCCCUUCUCGCUCGCCCACGCGCUCGACCCAUCUGGGCUGGGGCACGCAGCACACUCACUCGUCGGCUUUGGGACCCCCCUGUCUCGAAACGCCGACAGUUGGCGCGCCAGGUAGGGGCCUGCUGCGUGCUGACGAACAGCUCCCCGUCAAGCUCCAGAUGUGCAAUCUCCAGCAACCUCUCCGGCCUGGGGCGGUGCUUCGUUUCGGGACUCUUGAGUUCAUGUCCUUCGACGGCAGCUACGACAUGAUACUUCUUCCACCGCCGCGCGACAACGACGAUGGCGGCCGACAACCCGCUCGCCGGCGGCGGAAUCGACGACACCUUCCCCGCGUGGUGGAAGAACAACAUUCGAGCUCGCUCCGUUCUCUCCCCCGCCAGCGGAGGAGGAGGCGGGGCCAUCAAAGCCAAGCGGGAGGCCGCGCUUCGUUGGCCGUCGAGCGAAUCGACGCCCCCGACGGAAGGCACGCCGGACGUCGACCUCGCGUUCAAGACGAAGGCAAGCGCCGUCCCCCCGCGACACGCUGACCCCGAGCAAGAAGACGACGCCGGCGCGCUCGCGGAAAGCCUGCAGGACGUCGCCCUCGUACCUGAGAUGACGGUGCAACCAGUCCCCGAUGCGACUACGUCGCUCCUUGUCGACCAAAAGGUACCGACUAACUCCCAUCUUACGUCAUUUCGACUCGGCCUCAACCCGCCAAACGACCUCGCUUUGGCGGGCGCUCUCAUUGAGGCGAGUGCAACCCCACUGGGGUUUCAUAUAUGGUCACCUUGGGACCGGCUGACGGACGUCUCGACCUACGGGCCCUCUGGGUCCGAGGAAGAUGACGACCCCAGCGUCUGUUGGGAUUUCUCCGGACUUGGCAACCCCAGUGCCAUGCGGGACUUCAUGACCGCAUGUGACUACUGCCUAUCCGACUGUUCCGACGGAAGCCGCAGCCUUGGCGACGAGAGCUGCGGCCCAAGCCGCGAAUGUUUCCACAUCGAGCUAGGGGAUCCCCCCGAAGGCAACCGUCUCGGCGUGCCGGAGGACGGUGAUCUUCCUAGGCCGGUGCCUCGCGCCGACAUCCCACGGGAGCUAGCUGUGGUCCCCGCUCCGGCGGGGGCUUACGACCCACAACUCGAGCAAGUCCGCGAGGCGCAGGCCAGGCUCAACGAGGGAACAGGAGCGCUUGAGCCGAUCCGUCGGGACGUCGGGCAGGUAUGGGCGGACCAACCCCUGGCCGGAGAAAUACGUCACCUGCCCCAAGGUCUCCAGCACCGCGUCGCCAACGAUGUCAGGGUCAGGCCGCCGCCCGCAUCCAGCGGGGUUGGUCAGAACCUGGCAGCCGCAGCGAUGCUCUUCCGCGCGAUGCCGGAGCCAUCAACCACCGAGGGUCGGCGAAUCCAGGGAGAGCUCAAGAAUCUCCUGGAAGGCGCUGCGGCCCGGCGGGCCGAGAGCACUGCCUCCCGAAGGCAAGGAUAUCCCUCGGAACCUCAUGCCGCGACUUCCCGAUUCAUGCGGGAAGCCUCGGUCUACACCGGGCGCACGCGCAACACCGCGCCUGCGGCCCCGGGCCACCUCGGCAACGAGCACCAUCGACGCGACCGUCGGGCCCACCUCGACGAAAGGGUGCACCGAGGCUACCACCCCAGGCGUGGGGGGCGCUACAACAGCGGGGAGGAUCGGAGUCCCUCGCCCGAACCACCCGGUCCGCAGGCCUUCAGUCGGGCCAUCCGACGGGCGCCAUUCCCGACCCGGUUCCGACCCCCGACUACUAUCACGAAGUACUCGGGGGAAACGAGACCGGAACUGUGGCUCGCGGACUACCGCCUUGCCUACCAACUGGGUGGGACGGACGACGACAACCUCAUCAUCCGUAACCUCCCCCUGUUCCUCUCCGACACUGCUCGCGCCUGGUUGGAGCACCUGCCUCCGGGGCAGAUCUCCAACUGGGACGACUUGAUCCAAGCCUUCGCUGGGAAUUUCCAGGGCACAUACGUGCGCCCCGGGAAUUCCUGGGACCUUCGAAGCUGCCGGCAACAGCCGGGGGAGUCGCUCCGGGACUACAUCCGGCGAUUCUCGAAGCAGCGCACCGAGCUGCCCAACAUCACCGACUCGGAUGUCAUCGGCGCGUUCCUCGCCGGCACCACUUGCCGCGACCUGGUGAGCAAGCUGGGUCGCAAGACCCCCACCAGGGCGAGCGAGCUGAUGGACAUCGCCACCAAGUUCGCCUCUGGCCAGGAGGCGGUCGAGGCUAUCUUCCGAAAGGACAAGCAGCCCCAGGGCCGCCCAUCGGAAGAGGCUCCCGAGGCGUCUACUCCGCGCGGCGCCAAGAAGAAAGGCAAGAAGAAGUCGCAAUCGAAACGCGACGCCGCUGACGCGGACCUUGUCGCCGCCGCCGAGUACAAGAACCCUCGGAAGCCCCCUGGAGGUGUAAACCUCUUCGACAAGAUGCUCAAGGAGCCGUGCCCCUACCAUCAGGGGCCCGUCAAGCACACCCUCGAGGAGUGCAUUAUGCUUCGGCGUCACUUCCACAGGGCCGGGCCACCCGCCGAGGGCGGCAGGGCCCGCGACGACGACAAGAACGAAGAUCACCAAGCAGGAGAGUUCCCCGAGGUCCGCGACUGCUUCAUGAUCUAUGGAGGGCAUGCGGCGAAUGCCUCGGCUCGGCAUCGCAAGCAAGAGCGCCGGGAGGUCUGCUUGGUGAAGGUGGCGGCGCCAGUCUACCUAGACUGGUCCGACAAGCCCAUCACCUUCGACCAGGCCGACCACCCCGACCAUGUGCCGAGCCCGGGGAAAUACCCGCUCGUCGUCGACCCCGUUGUCGGCAAUGUCAGGCUCACCAAGGUCCUGAUGGAUGGGGGCAGCUGCCUCAACAUCAUCUACGCCGAGACCCUCAAGCUCCUGCGCAUCGAUCUGUCCUCCGUCCGAGCAGGCGCUGCGCCCUUCCACGGGAUCAUCCCUGGGAAGCGCGUCCAGCCCCUCGGGCGACUCGACCUCCCCGUCUGUUUCGGGACGCCCUCCAAAUUCUGAAGGGAGACCCUGACGUUCGAGGUGGUCGGGUUCCGAGGAACCUACCACGCCGUACUAGGGAGGCCAUGUUACGCGAAGUUCAUGGCCGUCCCCAACUACACCUACCUGAAGCUCAAGAUGCCGGGCCCCAACGGGGUCAUCACCGUCGGCCCCACGUACAAACACGCGUUCGAAUGCGACGUGGAGUGCGUGGAGUACGCCGAGGCCCUCGCCGAGUCCGAGGCCCUCAUCACCGACCUGGAGAACCUCUCCAAGGAGGUGCCAGACGUGAAGCGCCAUGCCGGCAACUUCGAGCCAGCAGAGACGGUUAAGGCCGUCCCUCUUGACCCCAGUGGCGACACCACCAAGCAGGUCCGGAUCGGUUCCGGGCUCGACCCCAAAUAGGAAGCAGUGCUCGUCGACUUUCUCCGCGCAAACGCCGACGUCUUUGCGUGGAGUCCCUCGGACAUGCCCGGCAUACCGAGGGAUGUCGCCGAGCACUCGCUGGAUAUUCGGGCCAGAGCCCGACCCGUCAGGCAGUCUCUGCGCCGAUUCGACGAGGAGAAGCGCAGAGUGAUUGGCGAAGAGAUCCACAAGCUAAUGGCAGCAGGGUUCAUCAAAGAGGUAUUCCAUCCCGGAUGGCUCGCCAACCCUGUGCUUGUGAGGAAGAAAGGGGGGAAAUGGCGGAUGUGUGUAGACUACACUGGUCUCAACAAAGCAUGUCCGAAGGUUCCCUACCCUCUGCCCCGCAUCGAUCAAAUCGUGGAUUCCACCGCUGGGUGCGAAACCCUGUCCUUCCUCGAUGCCUACUCAGGGUAUCACCAGAUCCGGAUGAAAGAGUCCGACCAGCUCGCGACUUCUUUCAUCACGCGUUCGGCAUGUACUGCUAUGUCACCAUGCCGUUCGGUUUGAGGAAUGCGGGCGCGACGUACCAGCGGUGCAUGAACCAUGUGUUCGGCGAACACAUCGGUCGCACAGUCGAGGCCUACGUCGAUGACAUCGUAGUCAAGACAAGGAAGGCUUCCGACCUCCUCUCCGACCUUGAACUGACAUUCCGAUGUCUCAAGGUGAAAGGAGUCAAGCUCAAUCCUGAGAAGUGUGUCUUCGGGGUGCCCCGAGGCAUGCUCCUAGGGUUCAUCGUCUCCGAGCGAGGCAUUGAAGCCAACCCGGAGAAGAUCGCGGCCAUCACCAGCAUGGGGCCCAUCAAGGACUUAAAAGGUGUACAGAGGGUCAUGGGAUGCCUCGCGGCCCUGAGCCGCUUCAUCUCACGCCUCGGCGAAAGAUGUCUGCCUCUGUACCGCCUCUUAAGGAAGGCCGAGUGUUUCGCUUGGACCCCUGAGGCCGAGGAAGCCCUCGGCAACCUGAAGGCGCUCCUUAUGAAGGCGCCUGUCUUGGUGCCCCCGGCGGAUGGAGAAGCCCUCUUGGUCUACGUCGCCGCGACCACACAGGUGGUUAGCGCCGCGAUUGUGGUCGAGAGGCAAGAGGAAGGGCAUGCAUUGCCCGUUCAGAGGCCGGUCUACUUCGUCAGCGAAGUGCUGUCCGAGACCAAGAUCUGCUACCCACAAGUUCAAAAGCUGCUAUAUGCUGUGAUCCUGACAAGGCGGAAGCUGCGACACUACUUCGAGUCUCAUCCGGUAACUGUGGUGUCAUCCUUCCCCCUGGGGGAGAUCAUCCAGUGCCGAGAGGCCUCGGGCAGGAUCGCAAAGUGGGCGGUGGAAAUCAUGGGCGAAACGAUCUCGUUCGCCCCUCGGAAGGCCAUCAAGUCCUAGGUGUUGGCGGACUUCGUGGCCGAAUGGGUUGACACCCAGUUGCCGACGGCUCCGAUCCAACCGGAGCUCUGGACCAUGUUUUUCGACGGGUCGCUGAUGAAGACAGGAGCCGGCGCGGGCCUGCUCUUCAUCUCGCCCCUUGGAAAGCACCUGCGCUAUGUGCUGCGCCUCCAUUUCCCGGCGUCCAACAAUGUGGCCGAGUACGAAGCUCUGGUCAACGGGUUGCGGAUCGCCAUCGAGCUAGGGGUCAGACGCCUCGACGCCCGUGGUGAUUCGCAGCUCGUCAUUGACCAAGUCAUGAAGAACUCCCACUGCCACGACCCGAAGAUGGAGGCCUACUGCGACGAGGUUCGGCGCCUGGAAGACAAGUUCUUCGGGCUCGAGCUCAACCACAUCGCUCGGCGCUACAACGAAACUGCAAACGAGCUGGCUAAAAUAGCCUCGGGGCGAACGACGGUCCCCCCAGACGUCUUCUCCCGGGAUCUGCAUCGACCCUCUGUCAAGAUCGACGACGUGCCCGAGCCCGAGGCACCCUCGGCUCAAGCCGAGGCGCCCUCAGCUCGGCCCGAGGCACCCUCGGCUCAGCCCGAGGUACCCUUGGCCCCCGAGGGCGAGGCACUGGACAUCGAGGAAGAGUAGAGCGGGGCCACGCCUAAUCGAGAUUGGCAGGCCCCGUACCUGCAAUAUCUCCGUCGAGGAGAGCUACCCCCGACCAAGUCGAGGCUCGGCGGGUAGCGCGACGCGCCAAGUCGUUCGUCUUGCUGGGCGAUGAAGAGGAGCUCUACCAUCGCAGCCCCUCGGGCAUCCUCCAGCGAUGCAUCUCCAUCGUCGAAGGUCGGGAACUGCUGCAAGAAAUACACUCGGGGGCUUGCGGCCACCACGCGGCGCCCCGAGCCCUUGUCGGGAAUGCUUUCCGGCAAGGCUUCUACUGGCCAACGGCGGUGGCUGACGCCACUAGAAUUGUCCGCACCUGCGAAGGGUGCCAAUUCUAUGCGAAGCAGACCCACCUGCCCGCUCAGGCUCUGCAGACGAUGCCCAUCACCUGGCCCUUCGCCGUAUGGGGUCUGGACCUCAUCGGUCCCUUGCAGAAGGCGCCCGGGGGCUACACGCACCUGCUGGUCGCCAUCGACAAAUUCUCCAAGUGGAUCGAGGUCCGACCUCUGAACAGCAUCAGGUCCGAGCAGGCGGUGGUGUUCUUCACCAACAUCAUCCAUCACUUCGGGGUCCCGAACUCCAUCAUCACCGACAACGGCACCCAGUUCACAGGCAAAAAAUUCUUGGAUUUUUGCGAGGAUCACCAUAUCCGGGUGGACUGGGCCGCCGUGGCUCAUCCCAUGUCGAAUGGGCAAGUAGAGCGUGCCAACGGCAUGAUUCUACAAGGGCUCAAGCCUCGGAUCUACAACGACCUCAACAAGUUCGGCAAGCGGUGGAUGAAGGAACUCCCCUCGGUGGUCUGGAGCCUAAGGACGACGCCGAGUCGCGCCACGGGUUUCACGCCGUUUUUCCCGGUCUACGGGGCUGAAGCUAUCUUGCCCACUGACCUGGAAUACGGCUCCCCGAGGACGAGGGCCUACACCGAUCAAAGCAACCAAGCUAGCCGAGAAGAAUCGCUGGACCAACCGGAGAAGGCUCGGGACAGGGCCUUACUACACUCGGCGCGGUACCAGCAGUCCCUGCGACGCUACCACGCCCGAGGGGUCCGGUCCCGAGACCUCCAGGUGGGCGAUCUAGUGCUUCGGCUGCGGCAAGACGCCCGAGGGAGGCACAAGCUCACGCCCCCCUGGGAAGGGCCAUUCGUCAUCGCCAAAGUUCUGAAGCCCGGAACAUACAAGCUGGCCAACAAUCAAGGCGAGAUCUACGGCAACGCCUAGAACAUCAAACAGCUACGUCGCUUCUACCCUUAAGAUGUUUCCAAGUUGUUCAUAUACCUCGCACCUACGCAAAGUUUAGUCGUCAAGGAAGGGUCGGCCUAGCCCCGGCAAAGCCCGACCCUCCCUCGGGGGCUAAAAGGGGAGAGAUCCCCUCUGCGUCGAAUUUUUCCUCGAAAAAGGAUCUCUUUCUAGCAGGAUUACUUUCGUGCUUCUUGACUACUUCGGAAAGCAGAUCCUGGAAAUGACGGGGUACACGUAAGCAGCCAAGGCUGACCGAGCCGAGGGAUUCCCACGCCUCUGGGAUACGGAUACCUCACUCGUCCCUUCCGCGAGAAGCAACUCUCGCUCACACAAACAUCCCUGUUACCGACAGAGUCCAGAUGCUUGAAACAAGAGGAAAAAAGACGCAGCUUCGCAAGCACGGCGAGGGUGUGUUUUCUGGCCUCGGCGGCCGCAGAAGGCACACGCUACAAGACGAUCUGAUCCUGCAGGCUCGGGUCUUCACGCUGAAGGGAGGCGACGGCACCCUCGGCAUCGACGACGUCUUCAGCUAUGUCCGACCCAGCCUCGGACGGCGGCGCGGUCCAGGGACCCCUCCGGGAAUCCGGCCCGAGCAGGCGGCUCGGCCGGUUACCCCUGGGGACUCGGCCAACCGGCUUCCAAGGGCGCCAGCCCGACCCGAGGCCUCGGCGGAUCGACUUUGGCGUCGGCUCCGCUGACGGACAACACGACUAGGCUUCGGCCAACCAGGUUCCCAUUCUCGAGCCAACUCCGCCUCUGUUCAUACUGAUAUCGCUACCCCUGGCCUCGGCUCAUCGAAGGGCAGCCGAGGGGUCUCUUUGACUAAGCUAGAGGAGCCCCAGACGACAAGGCCGAACGGGCCGAGGGAUUCCUACGCCUCCGGGAUACGGAUACCUCACUCGUCACCUUGACACGGGGCGACUCAUGCUUGGUAAAGCGGUUCAGAUAACCAACAGGCGAGACUUAGUGCUCGAGAAUGAGGAAAAAACACGGCUCCGUGCCGAAAUUACAUACAUGUUCAGGCCCCGACAGCCACAAUGAACAAACACACUGGCAUUCGAAGUGCCAUUACGUACGGAACUCCGGUUCCCCCUCCGCGGGUACGAACGACCCCACUCCAUGGGGAAGGCCUGCGGAGCAGCAGAAGACUGACGAGCGGCUCGCCGCCGCCCGUUCUGACUACGGCGACAGUGGGCUGGCGCUGCUGCGAUCUUGCUCUCGCCCUCGCCGAUGCUCGAGGGGCGAGGACAAGCACGCCGGCGCGGUGGCCCGGGGCGCGGGUGGUGGCCGUGAUCCCGUCGGCGACGAGGACUUCCCGAGCCGCCUCCGCCUCGGCGCCGAUGGCAGGGGACACCAGCCCCCCGGCAGAUCCCCACUCGAAUCCUCCCAGGCGAGUGGGGCACCGGCCUCUGCGCGAGGGCGCCGUCCCAGUGCAAAAGCAGGACCACCCCAGAACACGAACGCCGCCCUAACAGCGCGCAGCAUCGUGGGCGGUCCUCCCGUGCACACGGCGCGGCGGUCGCCCUCCGGCAGGAGGGGCCGCCGGAAGCCCGGCCGACGACUUCGACACGCUGGAGGUGACGACGCCCGCCGUCGAUCAGCCCCACGUUGUCUAAGUCCGCGCCGUCCGCAGGGCCAGCGAGCGCCUCUACCCCCAAACGCCGCGGAAAAGGGCGACCCGCGGACCCGCGCGGAAGGCAGAGCGCCGGCUCAGCGUGGCCCCCACCCCAGCGAGGAUGAUGAACAUCCUUGAAGCUGAGGGUGGGACCAAGAUCGUAGCCCGGCUUGCUCUUCCCCACCCAGAAACUGGUGGUCACCAUCCUGGGUGAUCGCCGGCGUAGGGGUGCGGCCGGGCCGGCUGAUGAAAAUCCUUGAAGCCGAGCGAUGGCUGAGAGGUACCAACUCCCAUGGGGUUGCGCUCCUCCAACGAGGAGGCGGAAAGGCGGCGGAUAUCCCCCAUCCGGGGGCUUGGAAGAUGGAAAGACAUGACGCAUAAGGGAGGAAGAAGACAUGGUUGCCUUCCGAAAGGAGUCUCCCUCCUUUUAAAGGCAACUCUCCCUACGUGCGCCCCCAGACGCCGCGGGCUGAGUCUUCUCCAACACGCUCCAAGGCCCUCCCCUGCGACUCGGGGGCUGGGUCCCGCAUGUCAUGCAAACCAGCUCAGGGCAGAAGAAGCCAAACCGACGCGCGUGGUGCGCACGACUGUCCAGCGGUUACAAGCGACCCCCCACUUUUGCCCAGACCAACGGGCGGAAGGGGCGGGCAGCCAUGCAGACGGCAUGCAACCGCGCUAGGUGGACGCGCUUCUCCGACUUCUGACACGCCAGCUUGGAAGCCCAGGCCCACGCGUCAAGCAACCGGCGCGCCAGUUGCUGCAUGCAAGCAACCGCACCGCCACUUGCGCCACCGUCGCGCCUCUUCGGUUGCGGAGCCUAUGCCGUGACUCGAGGCGACCCAGCAGCGCUAGCCUGGCGCGUUGGUCAAAGCGACCGAAAGUGGGCCAGCAGUGAUGGCGGUGGCAGGCGGGCGGGCGCAGCAGUCACGUCGUCAGCCAGGCUCACGUCUCAUCCUGGGGCAGCAAGAGAGCCUCCUCCCACGGCGUGAAGACGGUGCGCCCGUGACCUGUUCCCCGAACGAAUCGUGCACGCGCAACGACCGCCUCGCCAACCACUCGCCCCGCCGCAUUAACUCCGCGGCGGGACACGCGGCGCCUCUGGCGGGAGAAGCGUGCGACGCUUCACCUUCGCCGUAAUAACCGCGUCAAAAAGAGGUACGCCACGUCGUUCGAUUUCGUUUCCUUUUCCUUUUUCCUCUUUCUCUAUCUCUUGCAACAGGGACCGGGAAAGGGGGAUACCCCGAAAAGGAUCCUUUUCCGCGAAGGAACCGGGCUCCGAGCCCCCCCUACUGAUCAGGGGUUCGAAGACUGGCCCUCCGAAGGGUUCAACAGUCGCCUCAGAUCGCGUGGGCCCGACACCCACUACUGGUCAGGGGUUCGAAGGCCAGCCCCCCGAAGGGCUCCAUGGCCGCCUCAGGCUACUCGGGCUCCGCGCCCAUUACUGAUCAGGGGUUCGAAGGCUGGCCCCCGAAGGGUUCACAGUCGCCUCAGACACCGAGCGAGGGAUGACCAGGGGUACGUUCUAUACAUAACCGAGGCUCGGGCUGCGCUCCCGAGGUACCCUAGGACAUUUCCGAGACCAGCGGGAACGAUCUUGUAACGGAAUCCCAUUGGAGGGAGGCAUCGAGCCCUCGGACCCCGUCGCCAGGGGACCGGGUCCGGCAAAUCACCCGCAGGUACUUUUGGGCGUGCCUCUGGGCCCCUAGCCGACCCCCAACGAACGGGGCACGGACGCCCACUCGGAUUACCCGCUUGUAGCUCACCGGAGACACCAUGUUCGGUGCCCAUCGAGGGUAACAUGGCGCACUCCCCCCCUCCUCCUUGCGGAAAGGCGACGUAGGGGCGUAUGUAAAAAGUCGAGUCUGUCCCUGAUCGUCCUCUCGCCCUGUGCAGAGGCUCGGGGGCUGCUCUCGCAAAAACCGGCUCCGGCCAAACCGUUGACAGCGUCAACAUACCAGCCCGAGAGCUUGGGCCCCGACCGUGCACCCGGGCUACGGCCAGUUCGCAUGAGGGAACGACCAGACCAGCCGAAGCAUUACGCAAGGUAUUAAGACCUCGAAGGAGUGUAACCACUCCUCCGAGGCCUCGGGGGCUACACCCGGCGGGUGCGCUCGCGCGCACCCACCGGAACAAAAUGCAACCGAGAAAGGCUGGUCCCCUUGCAAAAAAGUGCGACGAAAGCCUCCAAGCGAGUGCUAACACUCCCUUCGAGGCUCGGGGGCUACUGUCGGGGACCAUAAUUAGGGGUACCCUCAAGACGCCUAAUUCUCAGCUGGUAACCCCCAUCAGCAUAAAGCUGCAAAGGCCUGAUGUGUACGAUUAAGUCAGGGAUCAGUCCACACGAGUGACUCGAUCACGCUUCACCCGAGCCUAGCCUCGGCCAAGGGCAGCCGACCUCGAGAGACUUCUGUCUCGCCCGAGGCCCCCCUUUUUACAGCGGACACAUCACCGGCUCGCCCGAGGCCUUGGCUUCGCUCAGAAGCAACCCUGACUAAAUCGCCACACCGACUGACCGAGUUGCAGGAGCAUUUAACGCAAAGAGUGAGUCAGACAGACAGUCAGGCCUUGCCAAAGGCGCCACGGCGAACUCCGCUCCGCCCGACCCCAGGGCUCGGACUCGGGCUAAGACCCGGAAGACGGCGAACUCCGCUCCGCCCGACCCCAGGGCUCGGACUCGGGCUAAGACCCGGAAGACGGCGAACUCCGCUCCGCCCGACCCCAGGGCUCGGACUCGGGCUAAGACCCGGAAGACGGCGAACUCCGCUCCGCCCGACCCCAGGGCUCGGACUCGGGCUAAGACCCAGAAGACGGCGAACUCCGCUCCGCCCGACCCCAGGGCUCGGACUCGGGCUAAGACCCAGAAGACGACGAAACUCCGCCUCGCCCGACCCCAGGGCUCGGACUCCGCCCUGGCCUCGGCCAAACAACCUCCGCCUCGCCCGACCCCAGGGCUCGGACUCGGCCUCGGCAACAGAAGACAGACUCAACCACGGCUUCGGAGGAGCCCCCACGUCACCCCGCCUAGGGCACAAACCCGCCACGUCAACAGGAAGCGUCAUCAUCGUCCUACCCCGAAUCAACUCAGGUCACGGAGAACAAGACCGGCGUCCCAUCCGGCCAGCUCCGCCGGAUGGGCAAUGAUGGCGCUCCACAAGCUCUGUGACGACGGCGGCCCCCAGCUCUCUUACGGAAGCAGGGCGACGUCAGCAAGGACUCGGCCGCUCCAACAGCUGUCCCUUCGCCGGGCUCCGUCGCACCUCCGACAGCCACGACAUCACGCCAGCAAGGUGCCAAGACCUCUCCGGCUGCCACAUUGGCAUGUACCUAGGGCGCUAGCUCUCUCUCCGCUAGACACGUAGCACUCUGCUACACCCCCCAUUGUACACCUGGAUCCUCUCCUUACGACUAUAAAAGGGAGGACCAGGGCCUUCUUAGAGAAGGUUGGCCGCGCGGGACCGAGGACGGGACAGGCGCUCUCUUGGGGCCGCUCGCUUCCCUCACCCGCGUGGACGCUUGUAACCCCCCUACUGCAAGCGCACCCGACCUGGGCGCGGGACGAACACGAAGGCCGCAGGACUUCCACCUCUCUCACGCUCGACUCCGGCCACCUCGCCUCUCCCCCCUUCGCGCUCGCCCACGCGCUCGACCCAUCUGGGCUGGGGCACGCAGCACACUCACUCGUCGGCUUUGGGACCCCCCUGUCUCGAAACGCCGACAAGCCUCGAUUCGUCCAGGUUGUUCACUUGGUAUUUUGUGGAUUAAUCUGUUUAAGCUUUGGUCUAUGUUGUGCAUGUGUAAGAAAAUGUAUUUGUAUGGAUUGAAGUUCGUGGCGAAAGAAAAAGAAGUAGAAAAAAACUCGAACGUUUUUAUAUUUCGAUAGGAAUAUAUGCGAUGUAUUGUUUGAUGUGUGCGAUUUGUAGUUUGUAUAAUUAUAUUUUGGUCGAUGUGGUGUACAUUGGUAUUGGAAUAUGUGUGGGUAUAAAAAUGUUUUGGUUAUAUGCCGUAGCAAGGUUGCCUUAACGUUUAGGUAAGCAAACGUGUUGUGUUGUUUAAUGUGAUGAGUAAAUUGGAAAUACAGGGGAUGCGAGGAUUUAAUUAGGACAUGUAUGUACGUGUGUGCCAUGGUGUAUUAUAGUGGUGGUGGCGUGAGAUAUUUGAUUGAGGUGUGCGGGUAUAUACCGUAAUAUGGUUAUACUCGCGACAAAGAAAGAUAUAUACAUUGGGUAACACGACACUUAGGUCGCUGUUGUAUAAUCGAAUAAAGGGUGUAUUAUUGAGCAUGAGUCAAAUGUGGGCUACUAGUGGUACGCUAGGCAGGCGGUGUUCCAAAUAAAUAAAUUGGUUGAUGUGGUAGUUGUCGUACGUGAUUUAUUGUUAAUGAGUAGUUGAGUUACGAGUUAUGCGAGAAUCAUGUUAGAAACUAGUGUGCGGCGUGUAACUAUGUUCGUGUGGUGAAUAAUAGAUAAGGAGGUCUUGUUGGUGUCAUUAGCCAGUGGGAUGAUUCCUAUGGUGCGAUAAUUUUUGAAGGGCAAAGAACAUGCGUAGUGUGUCGAUCAAGUUAACCGAUAGGUUCUGUAAACACGCUUGUGAUGCUUGUAUGUACAUGAUAAGAUCGAUGCCUUGUCGUCGUAGUCUUAGGAAAUUUUCUGAAAUGCACUAGUGCUCCACUGAUGGGUUGAAUAAACUUGAGAUGUAUUACAAUAGCUGUGUGUCGUGCCGGUUAUCUAAAAAUGGCGAAAGGUGGUGUGUGAGGGUAAUUGGGAAAUAGUCACGUCAUUAGCCAACUCAUGUUAAGUAGGAGUCGAUGGCGUAAGUGAUUGUGAUAUAAAUAGAUGUGGUGUCUCGGACUGUGAUAAUAAUAGGCAAGCCGACGUGUAUGUCGUAUGGCGGGCUAUGCCAUUCCUUUGGUUAAUCAACUUGCUAGAUGACUUUAGUUAAGCUUGUAGUCACGGUAAAUUGCUUGUUGUAUUCUAAAUGCGUAUGGUUACGGUCGCGGAUGAAAAGUAUUAGUGCUCAUGUGAUGUCUAAAUUAAAACGCAAAUGGUUGGGUGCUUAUCGGGGAGAAUGCGUCGUUGAUUGGUUGUAGUAGUUUUAGUGCACUAAAUGACUUGAAUAAAAUUUGCAAGUCGACUUGUUGGUUAUAAUUUGAUUGUCUUAACUCAAUUAAAUAGUAAAGCGUUAGAGUAAUUCAAGUCGCUCGAACGCGGCGAUUCUUGAAUUCUAUAGGAGCUGAAAUUUAUUGAUUGUUGUUUUGGACUGCACGUACUGUUUUCGGUGUGCUGUAUGUUUGACGAACUAAAUUGUGUUUUCUGUAGAUAGGUGCUAUAGAAAAGUGGUAGAUAACUUUAUUAUCUUGCUGGUGUUAAAAAUUGACAGGCAUAAGUCUGAUCGUUUAGUAGUUAUGCUUUUUACAAAUUCAGUAACUGAAUCUGUCCGAAUUCUGUACAGAUUUCAGAAACUUCAUUGUUUGCUCAAUUUAAUGUUGCAAUCUGUGCAUGGUCGUUAUAAGAAAGUUGUAGAUGCUUUUCUGAUCUUGCUUGUGUUAAAAUUUCAUAACCACAGGCCUGAUAGUUUAAGAGUUAUGAAUUUUACAAACUGCUUGCUGUGUUCUGUCCACCGUCAGAACAGAUUUCGAAAACUGUAAUGUUUGAUUUAGUUAAACCUGGAAUCACUUCUUGGUGAUUAUAAAAGUUGUGUAGUAUUUUUGCUGAGCUUUCCAAAAAGUCUUGGAUCACUCUUUUUGGUGAUCUAAAGCUUGAGUUAUGAAUGUUUCAAAUAUGAAGACUGAAUCUGUCCAGUUCUGGACAGCAAAGUCUUUUAGUGAUGUUUAUCCUUAGUUAAAUAUUGAAUCACCUUGAGAUGUUUAUAAAUGAUUUGUAGAAAAUUUAAUUAGCUUUCCAGAAAGUCUAAAAUCACUUUGUUUGGAUGUCUGAAUCUUUAGUUGUGAAUUUUUGAAGUUGCAAGUCAGAAUCUGUCCAAAUCUGGACAGAGCUGUUGUAUUAGCACGUUUUGACCUUGCUAAGUGUUGAAUCAUGUUGUGAUGAAAAUACCAAAGUUGUAGAGCACUUUUUAUGCUUUCCAGAAAUUCCUAGUUUGCUAUUUUUGGAUUAAUAUUCGAAAAGUUAUGAUUAAAACAAGUAACUACUGUGCUGCUGUCCUAAAAAUCUGCAUGUGCUCAAUUAAUUGUUAGUUCACCCUUUUGGCUAAAAAUGGUUGGUUAGCACUAAAUUCAUAUAGAAUUACCAUGACUAAGCUUGAGAUAACAUAUGUGUCAUAUUUUUAUACGUUUCUUUCUUUAGUUAAUUGUGAUGUAGUGUUGUGUUGCGUAAAUAUCCAAAAUGUUUCUCGUCUUUUUAGUGGUGUUAAUGUUGUGCGCUCGACGAUAUGUAGUGCGCUAACGCUAGUGUGUGUGGUUACUUGUGAUGUCGUAGUUGUGUGCAUAAAUAAAUAAAAUGGUGUUGUCUUUUUAAAGGUGUUAAUGUUGGACGCCGAUAACGUGUAGGUAACGAAUGCUAGCAUAUGGUGGUCUACGGUGUAUUCCAAAUUAAUGUUUAGUUCGCCUCUGUGUCUUUGUAUAUCUUGUGCUACUUUGUGCUCCUUUCAUUAUAUUCAUACAUACGCAUAUGGCAUCUCAUUUAGGAUCGAGAGAUGACGAUCGUGCAAGUGAUGUGGUGCCAACCACAAGAUGCAGUUGGUGGACGACCUGAAGAAUGAUGGACUUGACCAGUGGAUGCUCGCCAAGCGAGUACCUCCCCCAGCAAACACUAAGUGUUAAAUUAAGGCAAGCCCCAGUUUAUGCAUAACCUGUUAUUUAUACUAUUUUACUACACUUAAUGAUUGUAGGAUUGAAUGUGCACUUAAGUGUAGGAGUUGUUUGAAACCCUAGUUGCAUGAUCUCAGGAACCCUAUUGAGAUGAAUACUAGUAUGCUAGGUCGAGUAGCUGCUUUGCGAAUUAGGGAUCUCGGUAGAAGUCGAGUGAUUUUUCUAGCACUCGCGCGAGGUCAGGAAUUGGUUGUAUCUACUUUCUUAUCAUAAUGAUGAUUGAUUGUGGACCACAAUCCAUGGGGAUUGGUUGUCGACGGGAUAAAAAUUUGAAUAAGGAUUAAGGUGUGGUACCGUGUGUCAAGCGUUUGAACGUACUAAGCACAUGCCGAGAAAUAUGGUAAAUCGGUAAGCCUAGUACCUAAGUGAACCUGGCAGUGGACAUAUCCCCUCACGCGACCUGAGACGUGGUCUCCCAUUCCGGUUAUGGUGGGUACAAGUGCGGUCACUGCACGACGGCAGUCGGGGUCAGUGAGGCAUUGUACGCCAAGGCAGUGAGCCCUGAUCUGCUGACGGGGAAUCGAUGGGGACGGUUGAUGUGUGUGGGGACGGAGUGCCUCGCCACGUCGUGUGUUUAGGUUUACCUUGUAAGGUUUAAAAACUCGAUUCGAAUCGUCUGCUUCUCGCAGCUAAUGAGACUGCUUGAUCCAUGCUGCUACAUUGACUAACAAGUGGAAAUGUGAUGACUUGGCAAAAGUUGUUGAUUGCUAAAUGUUUGAUACCAUGUAUGAUUAGAUAGGUAUACAUUUAGUCUUAAAGGAGUCACACUAAAACUUGAAAAGCUAAAACUUGAUUUUUAGAUUCAGCUAGUGCUUUUGGCAAACCAAACCCCUCAGCCAAAUAGUUGCAUGUCUAGAGGUAGAGGAGUAGACUCCUCACACCGGGUAAGUCUAGCUGAGUAUUAGUAUACUCAGCCUUGUUUGUGGCAUAAUUUUUGCAGGUACUCCUUAGGAUGAUUGGUUGAUAGUGUGACUAGGCCUCCAUCCCUGCCACCGGGAUAGACGGUCGAGUGGGUUACUGCUUCCGCAGGAGAGGACCAGGAGGAGUAGCGUGGCCAAGCUUCGCCAUGUUACUCGGGUUUUCUCCGUUAGUUAUUUCCGCUGCAUUAAAAUUUAUGGUUGUUAUUUCUGAAACUCCGAUAAUGUAAUCACUAAUGAUACUUACUAUAUUUGUGGUAUUAUGUUUUAUUGUAUUUCUCUGUGCCUCACCUUCGUGUGAGCUAGUGGUAUUCGAUCCUGGAUAAGUGGCUUUAUCGGACUAGAUCCGAGGGACUGACGAGUUAUUCAUGUUUAAGUGUGUUGCUGCCCUUAAGGGUGUGACUCGGGCACUUAAGCUGGAAUAAUUCGGGCGGUUCCGCCACAGCUGGUAUCGGAGCGAAUACCAGUACGGAGAAGUCAAUAAGUCAUAAUUUCCAACCUUUUCUAAAGUAAAACUUGCUAGAAACUAAGGUUGGAUAGAUCGUCAGGGCGAUAAGGAUAGACCUAGGAUGUGAAGCCUUAGGAAAUAGAUGGGUAGCUAGGUGGCUAGUUAUAUAGGCCGUAAAGGCUACUACUAUUAAUUAGGAUGCUGUAGAAGCACCCGAAAAAUUAGUUAGGUCUGAGAAGAUGACUAGAAUGAGCAUGCAUCAUGAUUCUCGCAUUAUAAUUGUCUCUUAUGCAUCAACAUGCUUCUCUCACCUUUAUUCCAAUAAUAAGAAAUUGUGAAUAAUGUGCUGUAUUGCUAUGAACUGCAAAACAUGCCUUACCUCGUGUCAGAUUGGUAAGUCUUUUAGGUCGUGUUGUGUGUUUCUCUUGCCUUGCUAUCUAGGUGGUAUUGAAAUUGUUCAACCCUUUUUGCAAAAAAAUGUUGUUUGUUUCCUCAUAAAAAGACACCCCCACUUUAAACAACCUAGUGGUUAGCAAGUGAAACCCUUAAAAAAAAUCCUGCUUGUGUUGGUAUUUUCUAGCCCUUGUGUGUUGCACUAUUGAAUUUACACCUGCACAGCUUAGAGAACCCCAUAGCUUGACCACUAGACCAACCCAAGUCCCCUUGUGCACUCGUUGUGUCAAAAAAAAUUUGUUGUUGGUGUCUAGUUGCGCAAACCCUAUCAAAGCCAUGUUUCUUUCCGUAAAUCCUUAAUCUAAAACUUCAUAGCAUUUCUGUUAAUCAUCCUAGCUGAUCUUGUUGCCUACCUCUCCUUUCGCAUGGAUCUGGUGAUCUCCUUCCUUGUGAAUCAUGUUGUGGCUUUAUCAUCCGAAUCUCUGGAUCCUUUAAUGAUUCUGCCCUAUUAUCUUGUUAUCUGCUAUAACCUGUUCUCAAGUAUCAGAUGUUAAUUUACCUAAAUCUCUCAUUUCUAGUCUUUCUGAUGCUCAUUCUCUAGGCAUCAUGAUGUUGUUUUAUCGAUUUUAUCUAUAGACAGUGUAUCCAUUUGGUUCAAUGAUGUUGUUGUUAUCUUUAGUUCUCUCAUGUCUCUAAAAACUCAAUGAUCUUGAUCUCAUGGUUAGUUACUCCUCAUACCAAAUCUCGUGCUAAUACCUGAUCUGAUAAUCUCCAUGUUGAUCGUAAAAUAGUUCUCUGAGUUAAAAAAAUUAUCAUGUGAUGCUCUUUUGCCAACAAUCUUUGCUUCAACUUUAGUCAUAUUUUCUGAGCCAUACUCUCCUAGGCUCCAUCUAUUUAUGCUAUGUGGAAUUCUCAUUGGUUACGUUUGGUAAUGGUGUUAUGACUAACGACCGAUGGUGCCGCAACGAAACCGAGAGCCUACUAUGGUGCACACAUGGUUGAGCUGCUCGGCACGCGCUGGUAUCGUGGUUAAUAGUCGUGAUCCAUUAUAAGACUAUACUGAUGUGCUGUCUUUUAUGGAUAUUCUCUCAAAGUGAUCGCUGCAUUUUGUCUCAAUAUGUCACGAUGUUCUACCCAAAUCUAUUUCCAGUAUCUUGUCAGAUCUCAUCUCAUGAAUUUGCAUCUAUCUUCAGUCUGGGAGUUACAUGCUUCACCACCCUUAAAGAUCCUCAUUCGAAUCUCGGGACGAGAUUCUUUUAAGGGGGGAAGGCUGUGACAUCCCAGGUGUUAGUUUCGUGUUACGUCGGGAGAUUUAUCCUAAUCUCGGAUGCUCAGUGAAAAUUUCUAUUUCUCGCUCGCGUAUGUGUCUGAUUAUCCAAAUUCUCAUUCACAUCUCACCAAAUUCGGAGUUAUUCAGUCUCACAGAAGACCGAAUUUGGAGCCUGUUAAAACUUCUAUUCUCGGAACGUAUGCAAACUCGAUAGUCAACCUCGAAUUAUAAAUCUCAUCUGAAGCUCUUUAAAUCAAACUCUCGACGACUGUUAUCUGAUAUGAGCCCAAAUCUAGUUCCUCGAACUUCGAUCUAUGUUCGACUAUUUUAUCCGGGUCCGUAUUCUCCAACGGGAUACUCAGUACGUCGCCCUCUAAUUAAUUCUUAUCCGACUCGACUUCAUACCUCUGUGUUCGAUCCCGAUUUAAAAAUCAACAUCGACGAUAAUUUUAAAUGUCACGAUUUGUCUCUUUCAAUCAUAAAUCCGAAAGCCGGUCGUAUCUCGGGACGAUUUAUUUUCGAAUCACGCGUAGGGAAUUAUUUGCGAGAGAAAUCAAAUCAGACUCUCGGCCGAGUUAAUCGCUCAAUCGUCCGUUCGUCCGAACUCUAUUUCACUCUGUUCUCCGUUGAGACGAAUCCCGCAAGAGCAUUUUUAUUCCGGAAAUUAUUUAGCGUAGCCCGAUUGAGUAUUUUGGGCUAGCCCAGCCCAGCCCACUAAGAAACCCUAACCCUAGCGAUUUUCUAUAAAUAGAGGUGCUCCUUCUUUGCUUGGCUUUUAUUCACCUACACCCCUAGCCGCCACUUUCUUUCUCCCUAUCCUCCUCUCGGUGCGCGCCCCUGCGAACCUCCCCAGCAGGCCGACCUCUCCUUGCUCCAUGCCGACGCCCCUGCUGCUAGCUCUGCACCCAUGGCGAGCAGCCCCCCUGCAGCGAGCUCCUCCCUUGCAUUGUCGUCGGACGUCGCUGCUACUACCUUGCUCCCUCGUCGCGCAGCGAGCUCCACCGCCGACCUGCGCAGCAAGCCGUGCGCUGCAGCAGCACCGUUCUUCGCCUUGCGUCGUCGUCGAGCUUCGCCACUCUCCUCCCCAUGACCAGCAGCCCUCUCACACUCUACCCUCCCCCAAAACAGCAAGCCCCCAGCAGCCCCGGAUUCCCUCGGUGUCGCUUGCAUGCCACCCGCUCGAUGUAUUGCGCAGCCACAUUGUCGCUGCUCGCUGCCCAUCAACGCGCAGCCCCUCUGUUUUCUCCGUUGGCGCAGCAGCCCCGUCGUCUCCGCGCGCUGCAGGCUCGCUGUUUUGUGGAGCCAAUGGACAGCACGCCGUGACACUCGCCGGGCGUUUGCUGUUUUUGGCACAGACCCGCUCGCGACUUCAUCGACCCUCGGUGAGACAUUCCGCUACCCUUGCUGUUUUUGUGUCCAUGGUGUCGACGAUAUGCCAAGUCCCAAAACUCGUGUAUUAUCGCAGCCACCGUCAAAGUCGCGCUCCGCGCUUGGCCGUUCGACGAAAUGCCAAGCCUUGUGGACAGCCCAUGUGACUAGCCUCGAUUCGUCUAGGUUGUUCACUUGGUAUUUUGUGGAUUAAUCUGUUUAAGCUUUGGUCUAUGUUGUGCAUGUGUAAGAAAAUGUAUUUGUAUGGAUUGAAGUUCGUGGCGAAAGAAAAAGAAGUAGAAAAGAACUCGAACGUUUUUAUAUUUCGAUAGGAAUA
rnacentral:lncRNA from 1 species